rnacentral:rRNA from 1 species
GACGAACGCUGGCGGCGUGCUUAACACAUGCAAGUCGAACGAAGUGGCGAACGGGUGAGUAACGCGUAAUCCACCUGCCCUUCAGAGGGGGACAACAGUUGGAAACGACUGCUAACACCGCAUACUGAAGGAGGUGAUUGCGUGUGAUUAGGUCGUUGGGGCGGUAACGGCCCACCAAGGCGAUGAUCAGUAGCCGGGCCGAGAGGGUGAACGGCCACAGUGGGACUGAGACACGGCCCAGACUCCUACGGGGGGCAGCAGUGGGGAAUCUUCCGCAAUGGACGGAAGUCUUGCGGAGCAACGCCGCGUGAGUGAUGACGGGCUUCGGGUUGUAAAGCUCUGUUAAUCGGGACGCGGUACCGGAAUAGAAAGCCACGGCUAACUACGUGCCAGCCGCCGCGGUAAUAC